rnacentral:rRNA from 1 species
UACGUAGGGGGCCAGCGUUGUUCGGAAUUACUGGGUGUAAAGGGUUCGUAGGCGGUGCGGCAAGUUGGGAGUGAAAUCUCUGGGCUUAAACCCAGGAGGCCUGCUUUCAAAAACUGCUGUGCUUGAGUGUGAGAGAGGCUCGUGGAAUUGCAGGUGUAGCGGUGAAAUGCGUAGAUAUCUGCAGGAACACCCGUGGCGAAAGCGGCGAGCUGGAUCACUACUGACGCUGAGGAACGAAAGCUAGGGGAGCAAACAGG